UGUCAGUCACCCCAGGAACGUGACUCCGCUGUUUUCAGCCGAAGACUCUUUUGAGGACAGAAGCAAUAACCCCUGCGCACCAAGGGGCUCCUUCUUCAGGUCAGGACGACGCCACAAGCAACGAGAAGACUGAAACCCCCGCGGCGGGAGAGCAGGGAACCAGGAGACCUGAGUGUAAGUCCCAUCUCUCAGGAGAUUUUCUACAGUAGACCCAGAACCAGUGGCACAAAGCAGGUAAGUUACAUGACAAAGGCACUGAGAAUCAGUGAAAAGCCCUCAUUUAGAAGAAGGGUUCCUUCCUUUUAUUUAAUCUCUACAAUGUUAUAUGAGCUUUUAUAAAACUUCUCUUUUAAUUUAGAAAAUCAUGGAAUGUUUUUAGAAAUCAAAUCCAUUGAAACAAUUUAGUUUGUCCUUUGUAUACUGUAUUUAAAUUUAAAGGACAUGGGAUGUUUCAAAGAUGUUAUGAAAUUUGGCACUGUCAUUUAUUGAAUAAAUUGUUUAUUUGAGGGGAAGAAACCA
rnacentral:lncRNA from 1 species